CUGCAGAGGAGGACCAUCACCACAGUAUUCACUCGGCAGUCAGCAUGGCGUCCGCUCCGCCAAGGCAACCCGCCGGCGCCAGCGCACAGGUAAGACAUGUGAAAGAUAUUAUCCUUUUUGAAUAGAUCCUUUGG